rnacentral:rRNA from 1 species
UACGUAGGGUGCGAGCGUUGUCCGGAAUUAUUGGGCGUAAAGGGCUCGUAGGCGGUCUGUCGCGUCUGCUGUGAAAACUCGGGGCUUAACCCCGGGCCUGCAGUGGGUACGGGCAGACUAGAGUGCGGGAGAGGAGAGUGGAAUUCCUGGUGUAGCGGUGGAAUGCGCAGAUAUCAGGAAGAACACCCGUGGCGAAGGCGGCUCUCUGGAACGCAACUGACGCUGAGACGCGAAAGCGUGGGAGCAAACAGG